rnacentral:lncRNA from 1 species
ACUUCUCGGGCCGAGACAAGGAGCGGUCGGCGGAGGCGGCUGCUACACCCCCUCCGCCCGCCAGCAGCAGCACCAGCAGCGGCCUCAGCACCACCACCAGCAAGGCCGCUGCUUCCACCGUGCUGCCGCCCCGCAAGCCGACCGCUCCCAAUUUCUCGGCCCUUGUGCGCGGGCGUCCGAUGGGCCCAGGGGAGCUGCAGGCCCGGAUCAGGAAACUGAUGACCCCAGCACGGCCUGCAGCUCCAGCGGUGUCUUCCGUCAGAGACCAGCGUCCCUCGGUUCCGCCGCCCCCCACCACAGAGGUGACGGACGAGGAGCUGGUCCGGAUGGUCACUGACGUGGAAAUGGCUGAUGCCUGAAGGACAAAGGUAGGGUUAUCAGGUGAUGUAGCCGUCUUUGUUGGUGGUAGACGCGCCGUCCUCACUCACGUAGUGGUAAUGUGGAUUUGAUUAAACUCCCAGUCUAGCAAACCUCGCCUUGUAACUAACAUUCGCCUUGUAGCACACCUCUUAACGGUCGCCUUGUAGCACACCUCUUAACAGUCGCCUUGUAGCACUAAACCAUUUUAUCUAAUCAACGGCAUGCUGCACGUCAU